rnacentral:rRNA from 1 species
GCGGAGGAAAAGAAACCAACAGGGAUUGCCUCAGUAACGGCGAGUGAAGCGGCAAAAGCUCAAAUUUUAAAGCUGGCAUCUUCGGUGUCCGCGUUGUAAUUUUGUGAGGCAUCUCCGGGUAGGGCGCCAGCCUAAGUUCCUUGGAACAGGACGUCACAGAGGGUGAGAAUCCCGUGCUUGGCUGGCUGUCCCCGCCCACGUGAGGUGUCUUCGACGAGUCGAGUUGUUUGGGAAUGCAGCUCAAAAUGGGUGGUAAAUUUCAUCUAAAGCUAAAUAUUGGUGGGAGACCGAUAGCGCACAAGUAGAGUGAUCGAAAGAUGAAAAGCACUUUGAAAAUAGAGUUAAAAAGUACGUGAAAUUGUUGAAAGGGAAGCGCUUGAGACCAGACUUCGGUAGGGGGUGAUCAGCCGUCCUUCUGGGCGGUGCACUUGCCCCCCUCCGGGCCAGCAUCGGUUGAGGCGGCGGGAUAAAGGUCCCGGGAACGUGGCUCCUUCACGGGAGUGUUAUAGCCCGGGUGAAUGCCGCCAGCCUCGACCGAGGACCGCGCCCGCAAGGGUUAGGAUGCUUGGCAUAAUGGUCUUCAGCGACCCGUCU